UGCCAGCAGCCGCGGUAAUACGGAGGGUGCGAGCGUUGUCCGGAAUCACUGGGCGUAAAGGGCGCGUAGGUGGCCGAGCAAGGUCGCGGUGAAAGCCCGGGGCUCAACCCCGGGUCGGCCGUGGCAACUACUUGGCUUGAGCACUGUAGGGGCGGGUGGAAUUCCGGGUGUAGCGGUGGAAUGCGUAGAGAUCCGGAAGAACACCGGUGGCGAAGGCGGCCCGCUGGGCAGGAAGACGGAGCAAUCCGUCGGCUGACACUGAGGCGCGACAGCGUGGGGAGCAAACAGGAUUAGAUACCCUGGUAGUCCACGCCGUAAACGAUGGGCACUAGGUGCUUGGGGGAGCGACCCUCCGAGUGCCGGCGCUAACGCAUUAAGUGCCCCGCCUGGGGAGUACGGCCGCAAGGCUGAAACUCAAAGGAAUUGACGGGGGCCCGCACAAG
rnacentral:rRNA from 1 species